rnacentral:lncRNA from 1 species
AGGAAUCUGGAAGGAGAAGCAGUGAGGAGCAGAAGCAGAUCACACAGGCACCUCCUGCAAGGUGAGAACUGACUGCCUUCCCCAGCCAGCUGCUGACUUUAGCAGCAAGGUGGACCACGAAGAGCCAGGAAGCAGGCAAAGAGCUAGACAGCAGAUGUUUUCUGCGCUCCUGGGGGACAAGGUGACCAACCAAAACUUUGCUCAGAUCCCAGUCUUGCACUUCCUGUGUGACCUUGGGCAGGCUAUUUAACCUCUCUGAGCCUCCUUUCCUCCACUGUCACAUGUAGAAAAUGUACCUAAUAGGGUUGCUGAGAAGGUUAAAUAAAUUAUGUAUCAAGAGCUUGGAACAGCACCCUGCACAUAGUAAAUCCUAUGGGUUUUCUAUCACUGUUAUUAAAACAAUCUUGUGUAACUUUUUAGCAUAAUUGGACAAUGGUGAAUUCUCUUUAAAUUUCUCUCAUCUCUUAUGGAUUCUCCCUACCCUCCUGGUUUUCCUACUCCUCUAUGGGUCUCCUUUUUCUGUCUCCUUUGUAAGCUCCUCUCUCUUGUGUGAGGACAGCAGUUGAAAGGUCACUGCUGGGGCGCCUGGGUGGCUCAGUCGGUUGAGCAUCUGACUUCAGCUCAGGUCAUGAUCUCUCGAGCCCCUUAUUGGGCUCUCUGCUGUCAGGGCAGAGCCUGCACUGUCCCCCCCCCCCCCCCCCCCCCCCCCCCCCCCACCCCGCACCCCAGAUCCUCCGUCCCCCUCUCUCUCUGCCCCUCCCCCACUCAUGCCCUCUCUUUCAAAAAUAAACAAACAUUAAGGGAAAAAAGGGUCACUGCUUGCCAUAUGGGGCCUUCAUGUUAACUAGAAAAAGAAGCCCCUUUCGGUCAUCUUCAGCCUUGAACUUCAGCCCCUGUUUGUUUCCACUCUGCCAUCCGGACAUCCCUUAUGUCGUUCCCAACCUGCCCAAUUGUACAUGAUGACCCUGACUGCCAGUUAAUCAACAUCUGCCCAUUCUCCCCCUUCUGCCUUUCUAAUAGAAGCCCAGUGCGGGGCGCCUGGGUGGCUCAGUGGGUUAAGCGUCCGACUUUGGCUCAAGUCAUGAUCUCACAAUUCGUGAAUUUGAGCCCUGGGUUGGGCUCUGUGCUGACAGCUCAGAGCCUAGAGCCUGGAGCCUGCUUCAGAUUCUGUGUCCCCCUCUCUCUGCCCCCCAUCCCCGCUCAUGUUCUGCUCUCUCUCUCUCUCAAAAAUAAAUAAACAACAAAAAAGAAGUGUUGUUCCCAGUGUUGUUCCCACAUUCACCAGCCUCCAGGCCAAAAUCUCAGCCCCAGACUCAGUUUCAGGUGGCAGGGGAAUCCUGAGGCAUCCAAGUUAAUCAUGGCGGUUCCAUCACUCUGGCCAAUGAUUGGUUCAGAAUGGGCACGUGAGCUAAUUUUAACCAAUGAGAGAGAGGAGGAAGUCUUUGGGGAGAUGCACUUGGAAAAAGAUUUCCUUGCUUCCAAAGGGACAAUAUGGGAGAGAUGCCCCCCUCUUCUUGCACUAAAAGUUAUUGUGUCUGGUUGUGAUGCCCAGACCUGUGGCGGUCACUUUGGGGCCAUGAGAAGAGCCCAAGUGGAGCCAAGUCUUCAGCUGAGGGCUGCUGAACAAGGAGAUUGGGAACCUAGGGCCCCAAGACCCUCCUGGAGCUGUGGAUUGUCUCUUGCCCAGAGCUCUCCCCAACUCUGGUGAUGGGCAAUAGAAAUCAUCUCAUUGUUUCAGCCAGUGCUGGUCAGGAUCUUGUUACCUGCGGCCCAAAGCUCUCACUUUUUUUUUUUUUUUAAUGUUUCAAGUUUUUAUUUAAAUUCUAGUUAGUUAACAUAUAGUGUAAUUUAGUUUCAGGAGUAGAAUUUCGUGAUGCAUCACUUCUAUAUAAUGCCCAGUGCUCAUCCGAAGCGUUUCCUUACUGACAUGAAUAUAUAAAUACCCAAAGGCUGACUUCUCAAGGUGGGUCUUCUCUCUUCCUCCCACCCAUGGCUGCCACACCCACACUCGGGGCCUCGGUUCCCCCAUCUGUCUCCAGCCUCAACCACACCCUGAGGCUCUGCCCAGAGGUUCCUGUGACCUUCUGAUGCCUUCCUCUGGAUGUCCCUUUAGCCCCUCACACCCACCAUGUUCUAAACAAGCGUCAGUGUCUCCCCUCAAACCUGUUGUCUUCUCCCAGGUUCCCAUCUCAGGGGCAGGUAACCAUCCUGGGGCCUUUGCCUGGCCUUGUCCCUCCCAAGUCUGUAAGGCCUACACAAGGCCUGUCCACUUGGCCUCCUGAGCAUGACCUCCACUGCCCGUCUCCCCCUUUCCUCAGCCCUGCCCAGCCCCAUCAUCUCCCGCUCCGUUCCUGUCCCAGCCUCCCCUGUGCACCCGGCCCCAGUCUUCCCCUUCUGGUCCACCUCCACAUAGCAGCUAAAGCCCAAACCUAACCAUAGCCCUCUCCUGCUCAAGAUCCUUCCAUGGCUCUCUAGUACCCUCGAGAAAGACGCCAAGUUCCCAAGCUGGUCAUUUAAGGAUACUUAAGAUGCACGCAGUUCCACCGCUCCUCCUCUCCUUCCCCCGUUCACCCCAUAGUCCAGUUGGAGUAAACCACUUGCCAGAAGCUGAUAUCUGACAUGCUUUCCUCCCUCUAGACACACAUGGUUCCUUCUGCCUGGAAUGCCUCCAAGUGUCCUCUCUUCCUGAAUGCUAUCGAGGUCCAGCUCAAACGCCCUAUCCCUUCUGUAACCUCCAUGGGACUUGGUAGGGGUAACAGUUGAGUAGAAGGGCCUGUGGCGCCAAGAACUAUGACUGAUGUACCAUCUUGGAAGGAGGCAAAUCUGGGGGCAGUAUACAGAAAAUCAGUCCCCUCCCAGCUCUGUGUCUAAGACAAGGGACCUCCACGCCCGGUGCCUCAGUGGAAAAGGAUGAUGACAUCAUCUUCCUCGUGUGUAAAGAACCCUGAACGGAACCUGGCCAAAGAAAGCGUCCCAGCAUAACACGGCAGCCUCUGUGAAGUCAUCUUCGGAGUAACUACUGCGAUCAUUGCCAUUUUACAGAUGAGGAAAACUGAGAAUCACAGAGGGGAAGUGACUGCCCGAGGACAGCGGCACGACACAGCUGAGUUGGGGUCUGAGCCCAAGCAGGCUGGCUCCAGAGCCCAGGGUACUCACGCAGUCAGUGCCCGGGAAACGGGAACAGCUGUUCCGGGGGCGUCCGUGCCAUUCGGAUCCUGUCUCAGCUUCCUGCCUGCCAGGCUGCCGAGGAGGGCUCCCCGGCGCAGGCCCAACCCCCGCGCUCGCCACAUGGGUCUUGCUCCCGAGGGACACUUGAGAUAAAACAAGGUCCACCUUCUUCCCCUGACUACUCCUCAGAUUUCAGGGCCGAGUUGUUAACCCUUCUUCUAGAAAGAUCUCCCUGACCCUGCGGGCUGGAUCGGCCAGAGUCCCCGUGCUUCCUCCAUCCACCUCAGCCCUGCCCGCUCUGCCCGGGCCUUCUCGAACGCGCUGCCGGCCACCCUGCCUCGCCCACCGCAGUCCUGCCUAUUCUGGGUCGUCACUGUGUGGGGACAGGUCUGUCUACCUCGCUGGACUAGGAACCCGUGAGAGGGGGGCCCGGGGCCA